GCGGGCGGGUGCUUACACAUGCAAGUCGACGAUGAACCACUUCGGUGGGGAUUAGUGGCGAACGGGUGAGUAACACGUGGGCAAUCUGCCCUGCACUCUGGGACAAGCCCUGGAAACGGGGUCUAAUACCGGAUACUGAUCCGUCUGGGCAUCCAGACGGUUCGAAAGCUCCGGCGGUGCAGGAUGAGCCCGCGGCCUAUCAGCUUGUUGGUGAGGUAGUGGCUCACCAAGGCGACGACGGGUAGCCGGCCUGAGAGGGCGACCGGCCACACUGGGACUGAGACACGGCCCACACUCCUACGGGAGGCAGCAGUGGGGAAUAUUGCACAAUGGGCGAAAGCCUGAUGCAGCGACGCCGCGUGAGGGAUGACGGCCUUCGGGUUGUAAACCUCUUUCAGCAGGGAAGAAGCGAAAGUGACGGUACCUGCAGAAGAAGCGCCGGCUAACUACGUGCCAGCAGCCGCGGUAAUACGUAGGGCGCGAGCGUUGUCCGGAAUUAUUGGGCGUAAAGAGCUCGUAGGCGGCUUGUCACGUCGGUUGUGAAAGCCCGGGGCUUAACCCCGGGUCUGCAGUCGAUACGGGCAGGCUAGAGUUCGGUAGGGGAGAUCGGAAUUCCUGGUGUAGCGGUGAAAUGCGCAGAUAUCAGGAGGAACACCGGUGGCGAAGGCGGAUCUCUGGGCCGAUACUGACGCUGAGGAGCGAAAGCGUGGGGAGCGAACAGGAUUAGAUACCCUGGUAGUCCACGCCGUAAACGGUGGGCACUAUGUGUGGGCAACAUUCCACGUUGUCCGUGCCGCAUCUAACGCAUUAAGUGCCCCGCCUGGGGAGUACGGCCGCAAGGCUAAAACUCACAGGAAUUGACGGGGGCCCGCACAAGCGGCGGAGCAUGUGGCUUAAUUCGACGCAACGCGAAGAACCUUACCAAGGCUUGACAUACACCGGAAAGCAUUAGAGAUAGUGCCCCCCUUGUGGUCUGUGUACACGUGGUGCAUGGCUGCCUCUGCUCAUGUCGUGAGAUGUUGGGGUAAGUCCCGCAACGAGCGCAACCCUUGUCCCGUGUG
rnacentral:rRNA from 1 species